UACGAAGGGGGCUAGCGUUGCUCGGAAUUACUGGGCGUAAAGGGAGCGUAGGCGGACUGUUAAGUUAGAGGUGAAAGCCCAGGGCUCAACCUUGGAACUGCCUUUGAUACUGGACAUCUAGAGUACGGGAGAGGUGUGUGGAACUCCGAGUGUAGAGGUGAAAUUCGUAGAUAUUCGGAAGAACACCAGUGGCGAAGGCGACACACUGGCCCGUUACUGACGCUGAGGCGCGAAAGCGUGGGGAGCAAACAGG
rnacentral:rRNA from 1 species